AUAGAGAAGAGUCCGAGAAAGAGGGAAAGUAAAUACAAAUGUUACAUUGCUGAGCUGGCCAGAGCUUAACAAGAAAAGACUGCAUGAACAGGGUGUCUCUGGGGAAACAGUACGGGACACUGUGUGCUGAAAGAGCUGCAAGAGAAGGGAAGAGGCCAAAGGUUAUGAGUGGAAAUUAAAGAAAAAUGGAAAACAGAUGUGAGGAAGCUCACUAUAGGAAUGGAAACACAAGCAGCACUGAAUAUUGUUAAAGAAAAAAAAAAAGAUUACUGCUUUAAAAACAUCCAGCCAGUGAAGAGCUUAUGAAAGUACUAUUUUCAUAAUGAAUGUAAUUUGACAUGAAAAAUAAUCAAGCAGACAAACAAAUAAAGAAAGGUGAAACCUUCUGGCAAACAUCUGAAGUUUCUGCAUGUGGGAGAAGGGCGUGAAGGAAAACCAAGUCCUGGGCUCAGCGUGGAUGAUGAUUACAACUGAGACACAAAAACAUCUGCUGGGUUAAAGGCUCCAGCUGUUGGCCAUGCAGAGCAAUCACACACAAAGCUCUUGGUCAGGAAAUUAAGAAGACCGGUGUCACUGGAUCAAACUGUGAAGAAUUCUGGAAAGACUAAAUAUUGCUAUCCACACUGACGUUUGACCACUACAAAGGACUUAAUAAAAUAUACUUGU